GCUAAUUUUGCUGAAACUCAUGCAUGUCAACUGAUCCCAGAACCCCCUGAGCCUCCCGUUGGCGUUCUGUCAGCUGGUUGUUACCACAGGCUCUCUGGGUGUGAUCUGACUGUAAAGCUGCGAAUGGC
rnacentral:snoRNA from 1 species